rnacentral:rRNA from 1 species
AGUGAACGCUGGCGGUAGGCCUAACACAUGCAAGUCGAACGGCAGCACAGUAAGAGCUUGCUCUUACGGGUGGCGAGUGGCGGACGGGUGAGGAAUACAUCGGAAUCUACUUUUUCGUGGGGGAUAACGUAGGGAAACUUACGCUAAUACCGCAUACGACCUACGGGUGAAAGCAGGGGAUCUUCGGACCUUGCGCGAUUGAAUGAGCCGAUGUCGGAUUAGCUAGUUGGCGGGGUAAAGGCCCACCAAGGCGACGAUCCGUAGCUGGUCUGAGAGGAUGAUCAGCCACACUAGAACUGAACCACGGUCCAGACCACUCCGCGAGGCAACGGUGGGGAAUAUUAGACAAUGGGCGCAACCCUAGUCCGAUCAUGCCGCGUCGCGUACAAAAGCCUUCGCGUUGUGGUUCCCUUUUGUUGGGAAAGAAAAACAGCAAGUUAUACCCCCACUGUUCUGACGGUACCCAAAGAAUAAGCACCGGCUAACUUCGUG